rnacentral:tRNA from 1 species
GGUCCUAUGGUAUAGCGACUUAUUAUGCCCGCCUGUCACGCGGGCGAUACGGGUUUGACUCCCGUUGGGACCGCCA